rnacentral:rRNA from 1 species
GGGCCCGCACAAGCGGUGGAGUAUGUGGUUUAAUUCGAUGCAACGCGAAGAACCUUACCAGGCCUUGACAUCCUCGGAACUUUCUAGAGAUAGAUUGGUGCCUUCGGGAACCGAGUGACAGGUGCUGCAUGGCUGUCGUCAGCUCGUGUCGUGAGAUGUUGGGUUAAGUCCCGCAACGAGCGCAACCCUCACUUUUAGUUGCCAUCAUUAAGUUGGGCACUCUGAAAGAACUGCCAGUGAUAAGCUGGAGGAAGGUGGGGAUGACGUCAAGUCCUCAUGGCCCUUACGUGUUGGGCUACACACGUGCUACAAUGGUAUCUACAACAGGAAGCAAGACUGCGAAGUUUAGCAAAUCCUUAAAAGAUACCUCAGUUCGGAUUGCACUCUGCAACUCGAGUGCAUG